UUCGCAAUGCCCGAAAGGGUGACGAUGCGACGCCGCGUGAGCGAAGAAGGCCCUAGGGUUGUAAAGCUCUGUCGAGGGUUAUGAAAUAUAGAUGGGUUAAUACCCCAUUUAUUUGACAAAAGCCCAAAAGGAAGCCACGGCUAACUCUGUGCCAGCAGCCGCGGUAAUACAGAGGUGGCGAGCGUUGUUCGGUAUUAUUGGGCGUAAAGAGCACGUAGGUGGUUUUGUAAGUCAGGUGUGAAAGCCUUCUGUUCAAAGGAAGAACGGCAUCUGAAACUGCAGAUCUUGAGUGUAGGAGGGGAGAGUGGAACUUCUGGUGGAGCGGUGAAAUGCGUAGAUAUCAGAUGGAACGUCGGCGGCGAAAGCGACUCUCUGGCCUAUUACUGACACUGAGUGUGCGAAAGUUAGGGGAGCAAACGGGAUUAGAUACCCCGGUAGUCCUAACCGUAAACGAUGGGCACUAAGUAGAGGGGUUUU
rnacentral:rRNA from 1 species